UGCGAUAAGCGUCGGGGAGGUGCGAAUACCCUUUGAUCCGACGAUUUCCGAAUGGGGAAACCCACCUUAGAUAUCUAGAAAAUUUGAACUGUUGGAACGAUGAAGCGCUGUUUUGGUUUGUUUCUCAAAAGGAGGCACCCAUACAGACCGCUAGGUCGUCGCAGCUUUUGCUGCGCCCUCCCGGAGCACAGCCCUGAAAGGGCGGUACGUGCGUGAGGGAAGAACACUUCAACUUUCUAGAUAUCAAAAUAAGGUAUCUAACUUUCGAAUACAUAGGGGUUAGAAGCGAACCCGGGGAACUGAAAC
rnacentral:rRNA from 1 species